AGAAUCAACGCUGGCGGCGUGCCUCAGACAUGCAAGUCGAACGCGAAAGUUUCCUUCGGGAAGCGAGUAGAGUGGCGCACGGGUGAGUAACACGUAAGUAAUCUACCUCGGGGUGGGGAAUAACAUCGGGAAACCGAUGCUAAUACCGCAUAAUGCAGCGGCUUCUUAUGAAGACAGUUGUUAAAGCAUUUAUGUGCCUGGAGAGGAGCUUGCGGCAGAUUAGCUAGUUGGUAAGGUAAUGGCUUACCAAGGCAACGAUCUGUAGCCGACCUGAGAGGGUGGUCGGUCACACUGACACUGAAUAACGGGUCAGACUCCUACGGGAGGCAGCAGUCGGGAAUUUUGGGCAAUGGGACGAAAGCCUGACCCAGCAACGCGCGUGAAGGAUGAAAGUAUUUCGGUAUGUAAACUUACGUAAAAAAUAAGGAAGAAAUAAAAUAGAACGGUAACUAUUUAGGUAAAGGUCCGGUACUAAACGUACGUAGACCAGCAGCCGAC
rnacentral:rRNA from 1 species